UACGUAGGGUGCAAGCGUUGUCCGGAAUUAUUGGGCGUAAAGAGCUCGUAGGCGGUUUGUCGCGUCUGCUGUGAAAACUCGGGGCUUAACUCCGGGCCUGCAGUGGGUACGGGCAGACUAGAGUGCGGUAGGGGAGAAUGGAAUUCCCGGUGUAGCGGUGAAAUGCGCAGAUAUCGGGAGGAACACCGGUGGCGAAGGCGGUUCUCUGGGCCUGACCUGACGCUGAGGAGCGAAAGCGUGGGGAGCGAACAGG
rnacentral:rRNA from 1 species